CCGGGUGCCGGAUUUUAUCUCCGGAGAAUAGGGAAACAGGUGAAAUUCCUGUGCGAACUCGUCACUGUGAACCGGUCGUAUGCUCCAUUGUGCCACUGCGGAAGCGGGAAGGCGGAGCGUACAUGACAGAAGACCGGAAGCCAGGAGACCUGCCGGGCUG
rnacentral:ncRNA from 1 species